GAGUGGAAGGCACGGGACCCACAGACUGCACACCAUCUAUGAGCGGAUGAGGGAAAGCAGACAGAGGAAGCACAGAAGAGGAAGAGAAAGAAAGAACAAAGCAGCCCUCUGUCAGCUGAACUCCGCAUUCAGAGAAAGAAGAACAUUUAAUGCAAUUUGGAUGAGGCGGACGGGUUCUGGCCCCUGGAGCUGUUUGGGAAUGAGGUACCGAUCGAUCAGAUGCUGGAACUGCAGGAAAUUAGAUCAACUUACAUAAAAGUUUGCACACAUAUUCCAAGAAACACAUUUUCUGUUUAGGUUAAUCGAAUAAGUCUUUAUUAGAGACACACUGCAGCAGCCAGUCAACUUUAAUCCCCCAAUUAUUCUUUGUCAACUAUUGCCUAUUGCUAAAUGACAUUUAUGACAACAUGAUAAUAACAUUUGUACAUUUGUACAGUCAACAUUUUAAUUCUGAGUUCAUUUUAAUCAGACACACAAAACGGGAUUAAGUAGGAAUGAAAUUCACAAUUACUGUUAUUACUCCCUCUGUAGAUAAUUUUCUGUGCAAAUAACGUGAUGUGAGCUUUUCAUAUUUGAUUUUUGUUUUUACCCAACCAACAAUCAAAAGACUACUAGUUUGUUAUCGUAAGAUUACUAGUUUACUAUAGUAAGACCCACACAAUCAGGCGAGUAAUAAAAUCAUUGACGUUUAAAGUAUAACUUUUAACAUUCUGUCCCAGAUAAUAUUUAAAAUAUGUGCCACAGUUUACACAGAGCUGACCUAACAGCACCCACUCUGACGGACAGAGGGGCCCUUUGUCAUUCUGUCAGAGAGAGGAUUGUCACUCUACUGUCACUCACCCACAUAAAGUGGAAACAGUCCAGCGCGUUCCCGAUGACCCCACAGACGUGCCCGAGGAUCACCUGCAUACCGAUGACACUCCAGAAAAGGUAGAGGAAGUAAACCAGCGGUGCCCCCGCCCCGAUAACCAGGAGUAUCGUGAGCUUCUCCAGAACUACCCUACCCAUCGCCUCCACCCCGUAGUUGAGACACCACACCGGGACCAGCAGCGUCCCCACCACUAUGGGCGUCCCGCUGUCUUGCAGGCCGCUGAGCCAUGAACGGCCGAGACGAGCCAGGGAGUAUUUGAAGGGGUGGAGGAAGGUGCCGCAGAGCACAGCCCAGAGCAGCGGGCGGAGGAAAGCCUCGAGGAUGAAAUAGACCAGGACAGCUGCCCCGCAGCAGAUAGCCACAAAUAUCAUCGCCCCGGUGUUGUAGAAGGCCUGUUUUAUGUUCUUGUCAAACUUCAGGGAGGAGGGCUGGGUUAGCAGUUGGCUCAUCAUCCCGACAGCCGGCUGGAAGCUCUCCGAGAAAGAAACAAAGUGAGGCUGCCCAGCGUGAGGGCUCUCUGGGGGAGAGACAGCGGCGGGAUCCGGCGCCGAAUCCUCCUCGUCUGCCAUGUUCCCAGUUUCAGCUCCGCCAGCCCGUCCAACUGUUCCACCGCGUGAGGGAGGAAAACAAUGACGUAGCAACAUCGAAUGCCCAAAGGCCUCAUGGGCAAUGAAGUGUCCGUGAUGUCGCGCGUUCCUUCCUGUUUUCUUUUUCUUUUUUUUUUUAACUUACCACUUUUCUUCCGGUUUAUUUUUUAUUAUUGUUUUAUUAAUGUUACAAGGUGGUGUUAUAAAGUACUUAAUUCAAGCAGCAAUACACAUCAUAGCUAUUUAAAAUAUAUAAAUAAAAAUAAUUACAUUACAUUGUUAAACAAAGUGUCUUCAAGACAAUUAGAGUCAUGAUGAUCAGGUUUUCUGAAAUUCCGAGAUCCUUUUUUAAACAUUUGUUUUUUAAAUGGUACGGUAAGUUGACUUCAAGUUGACACCACACUAGCUUCCACUUCCACUGGGUUUGAAUCUCAUGGCUGUGUGGGGUCUUUCUGUUCAAAAGCUGCAUAUUCUCCCUGUGCCCUACAGCUUCUUCCCAUGGUAGGCAUGCAUGUUAGGUUAACUGGUAAGAAAAACAAAACAAAACAACCACGCAUAAAUAUACAAUGGUUUUUAUAUGAAUACCAUUGCAUUUGUACAUUCAUUUACUUUUUUAUGAAAAUUUCUACAACCCCUUUAUUUUUCCCACUGCCCAUUUCAUGUGCUUGAAAAGCAGGUGGUGUGUAAAAGGUGGUGUGUUUUUUGUUGGUUUGUUAUUUUCUGCGCUUUCUUGUGUAUUUUAUCUUCUGCCCAGCCUCUCACGAGUGUGAAUGUAUGAGUAAUUUGUACAUUUUAUCAGGCUGCACAUCAUACUACACGUAGCCACUGCUCAAAAUCUAAUUAUGUUACAUUCUAUUAAAGUCAUGCCCUUUGGCUUUAUACUUCCAGAGUGAGAAGGCAGUCUCUGCAUUCACUACAGCGUCUGUAUUUUGUAUAGACUAUGUUCUUAGCAAUAAGCACAGCAGCGACAGAUGUUUCAGUGGGAGACAUAUUAACAUAUUCAACCAUUUUUAAUACACUUCAAAAGCUACAAUAGCAACCCAGGGAAAAAAAAUAUUACUUCAUAUAAGAGCAAAAUGUUUCUGUUAACCGUGUUAUUGCUUGAACAGGCAAUAGUAGUAACUCUUCUCAUCAGUCUUGCUGUGAGUCACAGUGUCACAGUACUGAUAAACAAAGCAGUUACUGUGGUUGAGGAAGUGAGAUGAUGAAAUCAGACAAGGAUGUAAAAAAAAAAGUAUACGAAAAUCUUUUA